CAGGGGUAUUUUUCUCUAACGU
rnacentral:miRNA from 1 species